rnacentral:rRNA from 1 species
UUGGAGGGCAAGUCUGGUGCCAGCAGCCGCGGUAAUUCCAGCUCCAAUAGCGUAUAUUAAAGUUGUUGCAGUUAAAAGCUCGUAGUUGAAGUUUCGGGGUCAGUAGGUUGGUCAUGCCACUGGUAUGUACUGGUCUCACUGAUUCCUCCUUCCUGAUGAACUGUAAUGCCAUUAAUUUGGUGUUGCAGGGAAUCUGGACUGUUACUUUAGAAAAAUUGAGUGUUUAAAGCAGGCUAACGCCUGAAUACAUUAGCAUGGAAUAAUGAAAUAGGACGUUCGAUCCUAUUUUGUUGGUUUCUAGGAUUGACGUAAUGAUUAAUAGGGAUAGGUUGGGGGCAUUAGUAUUCAAUUGUCAGAGGUGAAAUUCUUGGAUUUAUUGAAGACUAACUACAGCGAAAGCAUUAGCCAAGGAUUGUUUU